rnacentral:rRNA from 1 species
UACGUAGGGGGCUAGCGUUGUCCGGAAUUAUUGGGCGUAAAGAGCGUGUAGGCGGCUCGAUAAGUCCGCUGUGAAAGUCGAGGGCUCAACCCUCGAAUGCCGGCGGAUACUGUCGAGCUAGAGUCCGGAAGAGGCGAGUGGAACUCCUGGUGUAGCGGUGAAAUGCGCAGAUAUCAGGAAGAACACCAAUGGCGAAGGCAGCUCGCUGGGACGGUACUGACGCUGAGACGCGAAAGCGUGGGGAGCGAACAGG